rnacentral:rRNA from 1 species
CCUACGGGAGGCAGCAGUAGGGAAUCUUUCACAAUGGGCGAAAGCCUGAUGGAGCAACGCCGCGUGCAGGAUGAAGGCCUUCGGGUUGUAAACUGCUUUUAUAAGCGAGAAAUAUGAUGGUAACUUAUGAAUAAGGAUCGGCUAACUACGUGCCAGCAGCCGCGGUCAUACGUAGGAUCCGAGCAUUAUCCGGAGUGACUGGGUGUAAAGAGUUGCGUAGGUGGCAUAAUAAGUAGCUAGUGAAAUCUGGUGGCUCAACCAUUCAGACUAUUAGCUAAACUGUUAAGCUCGAGACCGUUAGAGGUAACUGGAAUUUCUAGUGUAGGAGUGAAAUCCGUAGAUAUUAGAAGGAACACCAAUAGCGUAGGCAGGUUGCUGGGACAGUUCUGACACUAAGGCGCGAAAGCGUAGGGAGCAAACGGGAUUAGAUACCCGGGUAGUC